CCAUGAACUCCAGAUGCUUUAUCCGGUAAACAAAAGUUCCUUGGUGAAUCUGAUAUUUAUGUCAAUAUGGAUAAAUAUCAUUCUUUACAAUUUGGUGUCAAUAUCAUCCAUGCAUGAGUGGCAUAUUGCUAGCACUUUUUUUUAAGAAAAAUAAAUAUUCUGUAGUUAACUGAACUGCAGUUUUUAGAAAAACUUUAGGAAAUUACUGUGUUAGUCAUCAUUUCAAGCUCCAUUGUGUCACUGGUAGUGGUCUACAAACUGCUUUAUCUGCAGACAAGUAAUAUGAAUUUUACAGUAGCACUUGUCGUCAGCCUUUGUUAUUGAUAUCUGUUUUCAGCUAAUAUGUGAAUCUUAAAGGUCUGAUGUAUUGGUUUUCUUCUGUAGAUUCAUUUUUGGUUCAUUACAUCUGACAGCCAUCAACAUGAGUUGAGGAGCAUAGCUUCUGUAACUGAAGGCUGUGUAGGAAAUUUGCAACAAGAAUAGGAGAGGCUGAGAAUUUGCUUGCAAAUAAUGUUAUUGUACGCGCCAUAGCAAUGUGGAUGUAAUUUAAAUUAAGUUUUACAUAUUCAAGGCUGAGGAGGCUUUUUAUUUUUCACUAAGCUCCGAAUAAACACAUUUAAGCAGGUUUUUAUUAUCUAUUUUUGUCUGAGUUCUAACAACAGUUGAUUUUCCAGGCCUCCCCACUUUUCCCUUUUUGAUGGUUAUUUUCCAGGCCAUGUUUGUGAAUGUUUAAAGCUGCAUGAUUGUUCGUUUGGGUCGUCAUUUGCCCACUGCAUGCUUUCUGACGGUUGAGUUGAUCAGCUACCCCAUCUUUCCUGAAGGGAACAGAGAGCUGUCCAUAUUAGAUGGCUGUCCAUCUCAAGCUUUGGUGAAGUAUUAAUCUUGCUCUAACAAUUUGGCACAUAUUAACUGAAUGAUUCACCAUGGUUUCUGAUGACCCAAAGAUUGAUUUAAAGAUUGAUUUUGAUGAUCACAAAACCUUGAAGUAUAAAUACUAAUGUUUGUGUUGCAAGAAGAAAGAUAUUUAUUUUGCAAGGAACAUAGCAUGUUGGAAGAACACAAGAAGGCCUCCAAAGCUCUCAAGAAAAGUUGGAAGAAAGCUACAAUUUAUUGGCCCAAGUUCCAAGUUCAAAUGAUUCAAGUUGGAGAAGCAAAUUCAAAGAAAAAUUUAAAAGAAUAGUCCUCGAGUCGACUCCUGAAGAAUUCGAGUCGACUCCGAUGCUUGCCGAGUCGACUCCAGAGUAGAACGAGUCGACUCCAGAGAGUAACAGACAAAAAAACAGAGAAGCUAUUUUGGACCCUGAGAGCCGAGUCGACUCCUGAAGAACUCGAGUCGACUCCGAUGGCUUGGCAGGUCGACUCCUAAGGAAGCUAGAGUCGACUCCCAGAGAAAAACAAGCAAAAAGUCAGAGAGCCAAUUUCA
rnacentral:lncRNA from 1 species